rnacentral:rRNA from 1 species
CUUGUACACACCGCCCGUCACACCAUGGGAGCGGGUUCUGCCAGAAGUAGUUAGCCUAACCGCAAGGAGGGCGAUUACCACGGCAAGGUUCGUGACUGGGGUG